CAGAUAGAGAGAGAGGGAGAGAGAGAGAGGGACUCAUGAACCAAGAUUUUAUAAAACGGGACAAACGUCAAAUUGAAACUCUUCUAGAGAAUAGACCAAAUAAUGCACGCAGAGCAGAAUUAGGACGAUAUCCAAUCGUGAUUAAAAUUUAGAAGAGGGCCCUCAAAUGUUAUAACCACCUUAAAGGAUACUUCACCGGUGGGAACGUGAAGGUUUUAUGAAUUAAAUAAUUAUAUUUAUUAAAAAUCAGGCCAGGGCUUCUAAUGCACCUCCCUCAGCAGAACGCACUCGCCUACAGGUGAGACCGCCGUAAUAUUCUACUAUAUAUGUUUACAAAGUACACAAUAAUAGAGAGACGCCGAGAUGGUUUAUUGGCCUGUGGCGUGUGCCCCCGCAACCACUGACACACCAUGGCCUACGCCGCUCAGGAACGGUACCUGCCGUUCCCAACAUGGUAUAUGACACCAGCACAUUAGUAGGAGUAGGUAACAUCUAAAGUAUUUAUUACCAGGAAGUUGUGAUGUACUCUUUCAAACGCAUUUCCAGGAAAAGAUUUUAUCCGGUUCAAUACGGUUUGUGAUCAAUAAUCUAAAGAAAAUAUGAAAUUAAGCAAGCUGUACCUUAGUUUCUCUGUGAGAAAAACAUCUGCUGCCCCAUGUAGCAUGAAGAUAUAAAAGCAAAAAGGAAGGAAAGUGAGAUCCGUUGAAGGAAGAGAUUCACCAACACCCAAAGUAAGUGUUCAGAACCGAGUCAGAACAUUAAGAGGUUCUAAAGGUUCAGAGUAAAGAUUGAGCUGCUGGGCUCCUCAGUGUGGAAGACAAA